rnacentral:lncRNA from 1 species
AUGAAAACUGUUGACAAAAAAGUUAAGAGAAUUGGUAGUAGCUAGAAAAUGUCUAAUAUUGACACAGAAUUUAUAUGUUAGUCUCAUUAGUGUUUCACCUCAUGCCUCCAAUUAUCUAGAUUCAGCUCUCAUGAAGAAUAUUAGUGCAUGUUGGAGAAAUAUAUUGAUGGGCAAAGGUGCAGAUUAGUCCCUGAACUCGACCCCCCUAGAGCGUGUUGACCUCCCUGAACUUUCGAGAAAAAGGUGCAACUAAGCCCACGCACCAAACGGCGCCUAAACGCCGUUAUCUUUAAAACUUAAAAAAAACUCAUGCAUCCUCUCACACUCACAGUCUGCCUUCUCCUUCUUUUGCUGGUGACGGAGACCGCCGCCGGCCACCCUCUCGGCUCCACUUUUCUCUCAACCUCGCAAAGACGCAAGGUCCGCCGCCC